ACGUAUGUCACGAGCGUUAUCCGGAUUUAUUGGGCGUAAAGCGCGUCUAGGUGGUUAUGUAAGUCUGAUGUGAAAAUGCAGGGCUCAACUCUGUAUUGCGUUGGAAACUGUGUAACUAGAGUACUGGAGAGGUAAGCGGAACUACAAGUGUAGAGGUGAAAUUCGUAGAUAUUUGUAGGAAUGCCGAUGGGGAAGCCAGCUUACUGGACAGAUACUGACGCUGAAGCGCGAAAGCGUGGGUAGCAAACAG
rnacentral:rRNA from 1 species